rnacentral:misc_RNA from 1 species
UGCCUUGUUCAAAAACAGGAAGGGCCAGAGUUCCACGUACAUCAUACAGUUGAGCAUGAUCUACCCGUGGAUAUUCAUCACUUCUAAAGAAUCGAACAUCAGGAGUCCACUCAGGAACCUUGCCCAAGAAAACCCGACCAGGAAGCCCCACCAUGUCCUUGGAAUCCUCCUCAGCUGAAAAUUGAUAGUUAACGGAUAUGUGUCUGUAAUUUGCCAGCCUUUGACAGUUGGGAACAAGGGCAAAACGUUGGUCAUGAGUUGUUAGAACACGCCUACCUCCUCUGUCUACAGGGACCCAUAUUUGAUAUCUUUAUCUUUUGUGAAAUCUUUAAUAUAUCCAAGUGCUCUAAUUAAUCUAUCCCUGACAGAAGUUUUGGGGCCUGGACUUGUUCUCGGUCCAAUCCACCAACUUUUGCUUGCUUCAGAAGCUUCAUUUCUAUUAUUUUCCAAUCUGUUGGCACUACGUAUGUCGUGGCCAUGAGCCUGAACAUUAACCAGACUUCUGCCACGGGCUUCAUUUGAGGAUGAAUUAGUGGGCAACAAUGAUGUAUGUUCAUCAUCUUGAUUGCUUCUCUGGGAUGUAGAGGAAGCCAAAUCAACAUUACUGAUCUCUGAAGUAGACC